CUCAUUUUCCCUCUUUUUCGAAAUUUUCAAGUCUUUGAAAACCCUAACCAAAUGAUAACCCCAAAGUAAGCAAACACUAUCGUGUCCACACCAACGCAUUGAUGCAGAUCUACAGCCACAGUCGCGGAUCACCGGAACUGUAAGUUAGAAGAUGUUAUUGUACCCCAAUCUGAAUGCCACAAGAUACUUGUUAUUUCUAGCCGGUUGAUACCACCACACACCGCCACUACUCGUCAUUUUGAACGAGAUCUAAUUUUGGUAGCCUAGUCUAAAUUGUUUCUCUGGUUACUCUUGCCGGUAACCGUAGUACCACCGAGAACUAUCACCACCACCUCUAGUCUCCGCCAAGUCACAGUGGCACCAUAACCAUAACUGACCUAGACUAUGAAAUCCCAAAUUCUAUGGACAUAUUAAGGAUUUAAUCAAACCAUUUCAAGAAAUUGGAUACAACAGAUGUGUUGAAGAUGGAUACGGUUGUACCACGGAGAAGAUACAUACACUUGCAUUUUUUGUGGCUUUUUAUUUCUGCUAAUACAGGCAUUUGGAGAAGCAAACUAGGAGCAUCAAAUUGGGGAAGUCAUGGGUUCAAGCAGUGGCGGAUCUAAGAACUUUUUUCACUGGUUUCCUUUUGAUCCUGUCUUCACUGGAGGAUAAAUGGAGGGGUGUAAAGUGGUGGUUUCUGCUUGUCAAUUAGUCUGUUAUGACGAUAUCGCGCAAAUGUUGACUCUGUUGAAAGCCUCACAUCUACCCUACUUGAGGACGCAGUGUGCACCAGGGAUGACAAAGUAUGACUAUAUUCGAGAUUAUCUACUUGAAAAUUUACUUAAGAGCGACUGCUUUAAGAAGUAUUUAGUAAUCAAUUAAAUGGAGUGGAGGCACAAAUCGCCUAAGUGUAAGAUAUGCUUUCUACAGAACUCGAAAAGGUGAUAUCUUGUACAAUGUCUUCUCUAUUGGUAUGUUGUUCGUUACUAGUUUCUAGACUUUUUUAUUUGUUUGAUUGUGAUUUUUGUGUUGCAGGUACAUAAGGAAUAUUAUGUUACCGACGUAAUGACGUUUCACAAGAACUCGGAAAGUAUCAUUUCAUAUGCCCUUCUACUCUUAUAUACAUAUUUGUUUCUUAAUAGUGGAAGCAUCGGCUGCUCACUUACGAUUCUAUUCUCCGUUACAUUAUAAAUCUUCUCCAGCUGCAUUUUUGAAGAGGAUCACGAAAGAAAAAAAAUCCAAGCUCGAAAUUAUGCGAAAAGAUAUUGACAGCCAACGGCAAAAUUUGGAAGCUAUGAUGUGAAAGGCUUUUAAAACAAUUACUAGUUGGAGAGCGGGAGGAGUAGAAAGCUUUUAUUUCCCUUUAUUAUUGUAAUUGACACUUUAUAUUGACUAUAUAGUUAUUUGAGUUUGGACAAACAUGUUAAAAGUACACUUUUUGAUUAUCAAUAAUAUUUGUAUUAUUAUUA